rnacentral:misc_RNA from 1 species
GCAAAUUGUUGAUUUGGACACUAUGGUUGGGUUCUGUAUUCAGGCUGGACAGGCUGUUGCUUUUGACCGCCUUCUUGCAGAGGCUGGUACAGCUGUUCUUGAAGAAGGUGCUCCUUUGAUACAUUCAUUACUGACAGCGGCUGCUAAGCAUUUACCUGAUGAAAUACCUGAGAAAAAGGAGAUUAGAAGGUUGAAAAGAGUAGCAAACAAUUUUAAUAUAGCUAGUGACCAUGACGCUGAGUGGGUCAGAUCCAUACUAGAAGAGGUUGGAGGUGCAAAUGAUGCUUCCUGGAGCUUGUUGCCUUAUUUGUUUGCCACUCUAAUGACAUCAAAUAUAUGGAAUAGUAGUGGCUUUAAUGUGGAUACUGGGGGUUUCAGCAACAACAUCUAUUGCUUGGCAAGGUGCAUUUCUGCAGUAAUUGCAGGAAGUGAAUUUGUUAGACUUGAAAGAGAGCAUCACAUGAGACAAUCUUUUUCAAAUGGUCAUGUCGGUGAAACAUUGGAUCCUGAAACACACAACCAAAUAACAGUUGAGACAAACAUAAAAUCCACAAUGCAGCUCUUUGUGAAGUUUUCCUCUGGAAUUAUUCUAGACUCUUGGAGCGAGAAUACCAGAUCUCAUCUUGUGUCAAAGCUCAUUUUCCUGGACCAGUUUUGUGAGAUCUCCCCUUACCUACCAAGAAGCACGCUGGAUGCGUAUGUUCCUUACUCCAUUAUCCGCUCAAUCUACAGUCAAUACUAUGGAAGUUCAUCUCCUGCGCCACUGGCACUACUUGGUGAUUCACCCCGUCAUUCACCGGCUGUAUCUCUGGCACAUUCGUCCCCUGCAAUGAGGCAGCAUCGCAAUGAUUCCACUCCUCAGUCAAA